rnacentral:rRNA from 1 species
ANGCAGUCGAGGGGCAUCACGAGGUAGCAAUACUUUGGUGGCGACCGGCANNNNNNNUGAGUAACGCGUAUGCAACCUACCCUGUACAGGGGGAUAACCCGGAGAAAUUCGGACUAAUAUCCCAUAAUAUUAUUUGGAGGCAUCUUCGGAUAAUUAAAGUUCCGGCGGUACGGGAUGGGCAUGCGUAACAUUAGCUAGUUGGUAAGGUAACGGCUUACCAAGGCUUUGAUGUUUAGGGGUCCUGAGAGGGUGGUCCCCCACACUGGUACUGAGACACGGACCAGACUCCUACGGGAGGCAGCAGUGAGGAAUAUUGGUCAAUGGGCGCAAGCCUGAACCAGCCAUCCCGCGUGCAGGAAGACGGCCCUAUGGGUUGUAAACUGCUUUUCCGAAAGGCGAAACUCAGCGACGUGUCGUUGAUUGACGGUAUUUCGGGAAUAAGCAUCGGCUAACUCCGUGCCAGCAGCCGCGGUAAUACGGAGGAUGCGAGCGUUAUCCGGAUUCAUUGGGUUUAAAGGGUGCGUAGGCGGACUAAUAAGUCAGUGGUGAAAUCCUGCAGCUUAACUGCAGAACUGCCAUUGAUACUGUUAGUCUUGAGUUUGGUUAAGGUAGGCGGAAUGUGUAAUGUAGCGGUGAAAUGCUUAGAUAUUACACAGAACACCAAUUGCGUAGGCAGCUUACUGGACCGACACUGACGCUGAGGCACGAAAGCGUGGGGAUCGAACAGGAUUAGAUACCCUGGUAGUCCACGCCGUAAACGAUGAUUACUCGCUGUUGGCGAUACACAGUCAGCGGCUAAGCAAAAGCAAUAAGUA